GCCCGGGUGGCGCAACUGGAAGACGCAGCCGCCUUAAACGCGGUCAGUUGUGGGUUCGAAUCCCACCCCGGGCACCG
rnacentral:tRNA from 1 species